CCUCCUUUUCUUGGCGGGGACCGGGUGUGUAGUCCCGCUCCCUGUUAUGUACGGAGGCAGAGUGAAAGGGCUCCAGCCCCCUCGGCGUCAUGUCUUCGGUGCCAGUGGCCUCCCGUCUGCCGGUUCUAUCCUCAAGCACCGGGACACCG
ensembl:snoRNA